UUGCCGCCCCUUCCGUGUGCACGUGGAGGCCGGGGUGGGGCGGGGCAGGCGCAGCCCGGGCUGAGCUUGCAGGGCUGCUCCACUCACCCAACCUCUUCGAGUCCUCCGCGGGCUCCGCCCCACCCGGCUAGUGGGGGAGGUUCUGUCCCGCAGCCUUCGCGGGCGCGCUGCUCUCGGGGACGGUUCCUGCUGGCGUUGGGCGCACCAUGGCGCGCUGGGCUGCUGCUCCUCGGCCUGCUCCGCCCUCUGGUGGCCGCCCCUGGGGCUGACUUUGACUUAGCAGAUGCCUUUGGUGGUGGAGGAAACAGUGACCCAGCACCGCCUGAUCCCCCAAACCAAAGCCAGAUCCAAGCCCCAACCGACCUGGUUUCACUGAUAAGAGCCUCUAACCCUCCGGGUGGUCUCUAUGUCGUUUACCCGGCAGUGAUGUUCAUGUCAUCUGAGAAGAGGAGAUUUCAGGGGCUGACUUGGACUUCGCAGAUGCCUUUCAUGGUGGAGGAAAUCGUGAGUAGCUCUUUAAAGUCUCCUCUGUUGCUGACUUGCUUGUUAUCACUCAAUUAUUAUCAUUUGCAAGAGACUUACCUCUUGAGAAUGAUCAAUGGAACUUGUUUGCAGCAUAGAAACUUAGGAAGUAAGUGUGAUGUUGUCUGUUUUUGAUGUUGUUGGACUUUUUUUUUUUUUUUUUUUUUACCAGUUCACUUGCUUUUGUUUAGUCUUUGGAAUGAUGUAAGGCAAAUGUGACUCUCCUGGCCAUGUGAGGCGCACAGGCAUGCGACUUGUGAAGCCACCCAGGGAGCUGUGCUUACAAAGGUGCUAUAUUGGUUUACUGGUCUGUAGUUAGCAUGUUGCUCUUCUUCAUACAGUUGGGAUGAGCGUUCCACAUUUUUGUUUUGCACAGGACCUUGCCAGUUCUGUCACUGGGCUAGACAGCUGCUUUAGUUUAAUUUGAUGUUAAACAAUGUAGCUGGAAGUGAUGGAAGAAAGUUGGCAGGAGGCUGUGUGUAUGGUUAUCCCUGCCAUGACAAGCAGCAAGCUCCAACUUUUACCUGAUCUGUCAGCCAUCUCUAUGCAAAUUGAUGUUGCAUUUUCUUUACUCUAAGACAGUCACAAUUGCAACUUUCAUUGUCACAAAGAGAUGAACCAGCACCUCCUAAUUCACCCAAGCCGAAGCCAAAUGCAAACCCUAAGCAACCUGGAUUCAUUGGUAAGUGCUUCUCACUCUAUGGGUUGUCUGUAUAUUGUCCAUAGUAGAGUGGCAUCCACGUCAGCUGGACGAGAGGCUUUCAGAUGAGCAUGUGCUUGCUAUUAACUCUGUACAGAGUUAUUCCAUUGGGCAGGGAGGGAAGUACACAGUUUUCUGAAAUAGAUAUUUGACUUCAUUUUAUUUUUAGUUUGCUGAUUUUACUUCCAAGACUGUAUGGAACUUCUAAAACACUGAGCACAAGAUUUUCAUAUGAACUUGGUAUAGAGAAAAUGGCCUGUGCAUUCCCUGUAGAGAAACUUGGGUGUUUUCAGUGUUUUUGCUCUUGAAUAUUUGUAUCAGCUAUUUUGACACAUGAGAGCAUUCUCAGGGUAAUCUGACUAGCAACUGGUUUUUGAAGUGAAUUGUUGUGAAACAUUCAGGGUUUUAGUUUUGUUUUUUUUAAUUUUUAACACAGAAUCAUAAAUAAUGUGCCUGCGCUCUUGGCAUUUUGAUGGUUAUUUACACUUAUAUUUUAUAUAUCAGUUUAAAUGAAGCAAAUGUUAAGUAAUAAAGCCAGUCUUUUGUUCAUACUGCACUGUAACAU
rnacentral:lncRNA from 10 species